CCGAGUUAGGGUGUCCAACGCCUCCGGGCGCGCCCGACCUCCAACCCUUUGUCUACCUGACCUUUUGUUGCUUCGGCCGGCCGGCCCCCUCUCUGACCGGGGGGGCCGCCGGGGGUGCCUCACCGCCUCCCUGGCCCGCCGCCGGCCGGUGGCCCAUAACCAAAACUCUUGUCAAAAAACGUGUCGUCUGAGUACAGUGUUAUACCAAUAACUAAACAA
rnacentral:misc_RNA from 1 species